CGCGUAGGCGGAUUGGAAAGUUGGGGGUGAAAUCCCGGGGCUCAACCCCGGAACUGCCUCCAAAACUAUCAGUCUGGAGUUCGAGAGAGGUGAGUGGAAUUGCGAGUGUAGAGGUGAAAUUCGUAGAUAUUCGCAGGAACACCAGUGGCGAAGGCGGCUCACUGGCUCGAUACUGACGCUGAGGUGCGAAAGUGUGGGGAGCAAACA
rnacentral:rRNA from 1 species